rnacentral:rRNA from 1 species
GAUGAACGCUGGCGGCGUGCUUAACACAUGCAAGUCGAACGGAAAGGCCAGUGCUUGCACUGGUACUCGAGUGGCGAACGGGUGAGUAACACGUGGGUGAUCUGCCUUGCACUUCGGGAUAAGCCUGGGAAACUGGGUCUAAUACCGGAUAGGACAAUGGUUUGGAUGCCGUUGUGGAAAGUUUUUUCGGUGUGGGAUGAGCUCGCGGCCUAUCAGCUUGUUGGUGGGGUAAUGGCCUACCAAGGCGUCGACGGGUAGCCGGCCUGAGAGGGUGUACGGCCACAUUGUGACGGAGAUACGGCCCAGACUCCGACGGGAGGCAGCAGAGGGGAAUAUUGCACAAUGGGCGCAAGCCUGAUGCAGCGACGCCGCGUGGGGGAUGACGGCCUUCGGGUUGUAAACUCCUUUCGCUAGGGACGAAGCGUAUUUGUGACGGUACCUGGAGAAGAAGCACCGGCUAACUACGUG